rnacentral:rRNA from 1 species
CGCGGUUAUACAAAAUAUGUAAAUAAAUUUUAUUAGUUAUUAGUUAAAUGAAUUUUUGAAUAAAUUAUAAAUUAUUUUUUUAGGUUAAAUUUGUAAAAUUGAUUUAAAUUUAUUAUUGAUAUUUUGAAGCUAAAAAAUUUAAAUUAUAAACUAGGAUUAGAUACCCUAUUAUUUUAAAUGUAGUUUUAUAUAUUAAAGUAGUAAGAGAUAUAUUCUUGAAACUUAAAAAAUUUGGCGGUAUUUUAGUCUAUUUAGAGGAAUCUGUAGCGUAAUCGAUAUUCCACGAUUAAUUUUACUAAAUUUAUAAAAUUUGUAUAUCGUUGUUAUAAGAAUAUCUUAAAAGAGAAUAAUAUUCUAGUAUUAUUAUUAUAAUUUAUUUCAGAUCAAGGUGCAGUUUAUAAUUUAGUGUUUAUGGAUUACAAUAUUUUAAAAUAAAUGGAUUAUUAUUUGUAAAAAUAAUUUGAAAGUGGAUUUAAUAGUAAAAUAAAUAAAAUAAUUUAUUUGAUUAUAGCUCUAAAAUAUGCACAUAUCGCCCGUCGCUCUCUCUUUUAAAGGGAGAUAAGUCGUAACAUAGUAGAUGUACUGGAAAGUGUAUCUAGAAAGAU